rnacentral:lncRNA from 1 species
ACUGGGCUCUGAACUAGAGGAGUGUGGAUUCUCAAAGAAUUCAUGAAAAUAUUCACAAUAGAGUCUUCUUAUGCAUCUGUUUUCCCUAGAAUAUUCAAUCCAAGCACCUGAAAUAUCAGAGAGGUUAUGAAGCCUUCCUGAAUGCUCAUUCAAGGUUGUACAAGAAGCAUGGCACCAGCAUCUGCAUCUGAUGAGGACCUCAGGGUGCUUCCACUUGUGGCGGAAGAAGGGGAGCCGGCAUGUGCAGAUAUCACAUGGAGAGAGAUGAAGGAAGAGAAAGAGGAGGAAGCUUCCAGGCUGUUUUUAACAAUCAGACCUCACAGGAACUAAUAGUGUGAGAAGAUGUUUAACAUAUUCUGAUAAAAAAGAUAUUCAUAAUAAACUGCCGUGAGAUAACUGCU